rnacentral:rRNA from 1 species
CCUGAAGUGGGGGAUAACCAUUGGAAACGAUGGCUAAUACCGCAUAAUACCUACGGGUCAAAGAGGGGGACCUUCGGGCCUCUCGCGUCAGGAUAUGCCUAGGUGGGAUUAGCUAGUUGGUGAGGUAAUGGCUCACCAAGGCGACGAUCCCUAGCUGGUCUGAGAGGAUGAUCAGCCACACUGGAACUGAGACACGGUCCAGACUCCUACGGGAGGCAGCAGUGGGGAAUAUUGCACAAUGGGCGCAAGCCUGAUGCAGCCAUGCCGCGUGUGUGAAGAAGGCCUUCGGGUUGUAAAGCACUUUCAGUCGUGAGGAAGGUAGUGUAGUUAAUAGCUGCAUUAUUUGACGUUAGCGACAGAAGAAGCACCGGCUAACUCCGUGCCAGCAGCCGCGGUAAUACGGAGGGUGCGAGCGUUAAUCGGAAUUACUGGGCGUAAAGCGCAUGCAGGUGGUUUGUUAAGUCAGAUGUGAAAGCCCGGGGCUCAACCUCGGAAUAGCAUUUGAAACUGGCAGACUAGAGUAUUGUAGAGGGGGGUAGAAUUUCAGGUGUAGCGGUGAAAUGCGUAGAGAUCUGAAGGAAUACCGGUGGCGAAGGCGGCCCCCUGGACAGAUACUGACACUCAGAUGCGAAAGCGUGGGGAGCAAACAGGAUUAGAUACCCUGGUAGUCCACGCCGUAAACGAUGUCUACUUGGAGGUUGUGGCCUUGAGCCGUGGCUUUCGGAGCUAACGCGUUAAGUAGACCGCCUGGGGAGUACGGUCGCAAGAUUAAAACUCAAAUGAAUUGACGGGGGCCCGCACAAGCGGUGGAGCACGUGGUUUAAUUCGAUGCAACGCGAAGAACCUUACCUACUCUUGACAUCCAGAGAACUUUCCAGAGAUGGAUUGGUGCCUUCGGGAACUCUGAGACAGGUGCUGCAUGGCUGUCGUCAGCUCGUGUUGUGAAAUGUUGGGUUAAGUCCCGCAACGAGCGCAACCCUUAUCCUUGUUUGCCAGCACUUCGGGUGGGAACUCCAGGGAGACUGCCGGUGAUAAACCGGAGGAAGGUGGGGACGACGU